rnacentral:rRNA from 1 species
UAGGGAAUCUUCGGCAAUGGGGGCAACCCUGACCGAGCAACGCCGCGUGAGUGAAGAAGGUUUUCGGAUCGUAAAGCUCUGUUGUAAGAGAAGAACGUGUGUGAGAGCGGAAAGUUCACACAGUGACGGUAACUUACCAGAAAGGGACGGCUAACUACGUGCCAG